rnacentral:miRNA from 1 species
UGGCAGUGCGCGCCUACAGCUGA